UUUUUUUCCUCCUCACGUCGCAGUAGCCUUCAUAUACCCUUCCUCUUGUAUACAUCUGAUAUAUACGCAGACAAAUAACAUAGCUUUCAUCAAUCGCUAUCUCAAACCUUCAUUCAAUCAGAACCUGAUGUUUUACACCCCACUGAUGUACCAUUGUCGCUGAAAUCUUCAAAACCAAGUUCAUCUUUCACGUAACACUAAUGCUUCUUCAAAUUCAUCUUGAUUUUCACUUAUGUGGCUUUGCGGAUAGUGAGUUCAUCACGUAGCAGUUAAUUGAAAAUCGAAACCCUCAAGUUUUCAGAACCGAUGUUGAAGAUUUAGAGACGACUCUGUUGGAAAUACCCAGAUCGGUGAGAAGCCAUUUUUUUGUUGUCUUCUUUUAUUCAGGUAUUAUACGAUUCUUCAAGACUAAGAAGUUCAUUCGUUCGUUCAGGUUGUUGCGUAAUGCAUAUGGAUGGGGGUUCUUGCAUAAUGGUGUGGUGAGAUUACCCUGAGACGAAGAUCUGCUGAAUCGCGUUCCACUGCUAAUCCUACCACUCAAAGAGAAAGUUGUUCUGGUGUUCUUGAUAUAACAAUCAUCACUCCUUAUGAAACUCAAGUUAUACUCAAGGUACUCCCCGUCACAAGAAACCAUCACCACCUAUUGAUGAUUCAGAAUUCGAUGACUGGCUUCUACACUUUGUUGUUCUCUAAGGACCAUUUGUUUUAUUGUAUUUGAUGUCCACAGGUCUAAAGAAGUCAUGUAUUUUAACAUCUAAGUUCUGUACUAGCAUGCUGGAGUGAUAAGAGAAGCCGCUUGAAAGUGAAUAAGGGUGAGAAAUUCUGAAUUGUUUAUUUGACAAGGCCUGUGGAGACAUAUAACAUGUUGGGGUUGGGGCUUUGUUUAGAUGGAUGCAGAAACUGCACGAAGAUGGGUCAACUCUGUCCGUUUUGAGUUUUGACCCAUGCUUUAUAAAGUUAAUAAGGUACUUCAUCAUGCAAAAGGGGACUGUUAGCUAAAUUAUAUGAUGUAAAAAAGUUUAAUCAUGUUGAAAUGAAGGAAUUUUUUUUGUUGAAAGUAAAGUCCAGGGACUUUGUUGUUAUGUUUAAAAGAAUAAGGGAAUCAAUCAUGCAAAAAUAAAGUCCAUGAACAUUACUCCAAGUUUAGUUACUUACAGUUUAUAGUGUUUUUUUGUUGUAAUUGCUCAUAUGUUAAUGCAAAUUGAAACAUUGUACUAACUGUUUUCUU
rnacentral:lncRNA from 1 species